AUAUGCUGAGGAGUCCCAUAAUAGGACGAAACGACCAUCCAGUAC
rfam:Schistosoma rodhaini strain Burundi genome assembly, scaffold: SROB_scaffold0007623